rnacentral:rRNA from 1 species
AGUGAACGCUGGCGGUAGGCCUAACACAUGCAAGUCGAACGGCAGCACAGUAAGAGCUUGCUCUUACGGGUGGCGAGUGGCGGACGGGUGAGGAAUACAUCGGAAUCUACUUUUUCGUGGGGGAUAACGUAGGGAAACUUACGCUAAUACCGCAUACGACCUACGGGUGAAAGCAGGGGAUCUUCGGACCUUGCGCGAUUGAAUGAGCCGAUGUCGGAUUAGCUAGUUGGCGGGGUAAAGGCCCACCAAGGCGACGAUCCGUAGCUGGUCUGAGAGGAUGAUCAGCCACACUGGAACUGAGAACCGGUCCGACCUCCAAGGGAGGGAAGAGGUGGGGAAUAUUGGACAAUGGGGGAAAGCCUGAUCCAGCCAUCCCGGGUGGGUGAAGAAGGCCUUCGGUUUGUAAAGCCCUUUUGUUGGGAAAAAAAAGCAGCAGGUUAAUACCCCGCUGUUCUGACGGUACCAAAAGAAUAAGCACCGGCAAACUUCGU